GUUGUUCGGAAUUACUGGGCGUAAAGCGAGUGUAGGCGGUCUUGAAAGUCGGAUGUGAAAGCCCUGGGCUCAACCCAGGAAGUGCAUUCGAUACUCCGAGGCUAGAGUACUGGAGAGGUGGGUGGAAUUCUCGGUGUAGAGGUGAAAUUCGUAGAUAUCGAGAGGAACACCGGCGGCGAAGGCGGCCCACUGGACAGAUACUGACGCUGAGACUCGAAAGCGUGGGGAGCAAACAGG
rnacentral:rRNA from 1 species